GAUGAAGAACGUAGCGAAAUGCGAAAAGUAAUGUGAAUUGCAGAAUUCAGUGAAUCAUCGAAUCUUUGAACGCACAUUGCGCCCGCCAGUAUUCUGGCGGGCAUGCCUGUCUGAGCGUCAUUUCAACCCUCACGCCCCUAGGGCGUGGUGUUGGGGAUCGGCCAGCGCUCGCGAGGGCAAGGCCGUCCCCCAAAUCUAGUGGCGGACCCGUCGUGGCCUCCCCUGCGAAGUAGUGAUAUUCCGCAUAGGAGAGCGACGAGCCCCUGCCGUUAAACCCCCAACUUUCUCAGGUUGACCUCAGAUCAGGUAGGAAUACCCGCUGAACUUAAGCAUAUCAAUAAGCGGAGGA
rnacentral:misc_RNA from 1 species